GAAAGUGGUCUAUGGAAGUAAGGGCCAAUCAAAUGCUCUCACGGAGUCUAACGCCAUUGAUACUGACAGAGCAACCUCCGUUCGCCGUAGUUUCUUCGAUCCCUUUCGGCGGCAAGGUAUUCUGUGUUCAAUGCCUCCCAAUCGAAAAUAUUCGUCAUCUUUUUUUUUUUUUUUUUUUUUUCAUAAUUUCAUUCAAUUUAGCGGGUUCUGGAAAAGUUUUGAAUGGAUGAGAAGGUGAAUUUGACUGGAUUGGAUUGGAUUGGAUUGAAUGUUCAUGUGGUGGGUGGAAAAAAUUAUUCGAGUUUUCUCCUUCGUUAAUCGACGAAGAACAUUAGCGAUUUCUACGUUUCAUAGCUUUGAUUGAUCGCAUGGUUCUAUUGAUUCCUUUGCAAAAUUACUUGUCCUCUUAAUGUUGUAAUUAGGAGACAUUAGGUUAAUUAUUUCUAUGAGGAUUCAGAUUAUGAGCAAGUGGAGUGGAGCAUCUUUUACUUUACUUUGUGCUGUAGUUUUCCCCACUAGCUGCAAUAUUCUUCAAUGAGUAUUUCUGUUGUUGAUUUAACUUUGACAUCCUUUUUUUUCCUGAUUUCAAUUAAUCUUGUCUGCUUAUUGGGAACAUGGACUGUAGUUUGGAUUUAAAAUAAGCUGCUCAUUCCCUUUGAAAAGGGAAAGGUGUCUUUUAAGAACAAAUUAAGGUUCUUUGGGCUAUUAUGACUAUAAUCAAGAAAAUAGCUUUAGAAGUUUCGUUAUUGAGUUGGGGCCUCCAUAUUGAAAAGGAAAACUCUGUGUUUAUAGAAAAAUUGAGAAUAGUUCUUUAAUGCCAUUCACAAGACUUAUUGGUUCUCUUGUUUGUUUGUUUAUUCUGAAACGAACAGUUCUUCAGGAUUUUCUUUGUUCCUUUGCAUAAUUCGGUAUCUCAGGUCACCCUGUUUUUUACUAUAUGAGGUCGUAGUUGUAGUUUUUUUGGUUUUUUUUGCUAGGAACUUAGUCAUGUUAUUGAAUAUCGGAUAAGGCUUUUGAUUCAUCAAUGCUAAGAGAAUUAAAAGUCGCUUGGCCUUGUCAUGGGAAACCAAAAAAGAAAAGGAAAAAGGGUCCUUGUAUAGAUUGAUUUGUGGCUGGAGGACAUUGCCUACUUCUCAUUGCAGUUGGCAAUAAAUCUUCAUUUCUCAAAAGUUUGCUUAGCUGCUUACUUUGGUGAUAUGUGAAGUAUCAAUAUAUGGCAAAAAGAAAGUGCAUCGCACAAGAAUUCAAGGUGGGGAAUCUCAAUUGGAUCUCACCUUUAAUACUUCCUUACCUUUACCCUACAUCAAUAGGAAGGGGCCUUCUCCUCCUGCAAUCACCUCAUACCUUCCAUUUACUGGUGCGUGCCUUAGAUUUUAUCUAUCUCAAUCUGGCUUCUUCUACUUUGUCUCUUAUGACAGCAACAAAUAGGAAGAAAAAGGUGCGGUUUUACAUUAAUUUUGUUAUGGGCUUCGUUGGAUGUAAGUGUUAUACACUGUUUGAUUUGUGACAUGUUUGUUGUUGACUGAAAAUUGAUCAUUGUAAUACUUGGUCCAUGCUGCAUGUUGAGCUCCCUGUGUGAUUGAUUCCGUGGGAUCUCGUGUAACUUACAUUUCUUCACGACAUAUGAAAUUAAUUAGAUACGAUAUGUGGGCUUAUUUAUCAUUAUUAUGAAUUUCUUAACCUCAUGAACUAUAUAAUCUCAGGGGUCGUAGGCUAUUCACCAAUUUGUACACAACUGCACAAACUAUACAUAGAUCAGAUAAAUGUUGAUUACUUUGCACAUUUCUCAUCGUCUAUAAGAUGCAUGCAUAUGUAACUUUCCAAGCUCAAAAUUCGAACUAGGAUUCAAAAUAUGAUUCGAAUUUUGUUCAUCUUUGAUGCUAUAUGUAAUUACCCUUGAACUAGUAAGAAUCUAGAUUCUGAAUCCUGCUUAGAAUCUUAGGUGUGGAGAGUUAUAAAUCGUAUUAGAGAGGAAUCUCCCUAUUAUGAUGUGGUUUUAGGGACGAACCAAAAUAUAAUGAGAAACCCAUGUUAGUCUAUGUGGACAAUCUUCACUGCAUGUUGUUGAAGAUAAGUAAGGUAACCUGACCAUGUUGUAAAAGAUGUAGGAAAAUGUUAGAGCUACGUGUUGAAUCAAAUUUUUGGUUUAUAUCUUCAGUCUGGAGAAUGACACACUCCAAUAAUGAUAUAAUAGCAAAAAAACAAAUGAAUCGCAUUAGAAAGUUUUUUUUUGUGAACUAACCAAAGGACAAGGCCGAGGCAGGCAAAAUCAGGUUGCUUUCUUCCAUGGAAGUUUCAUUUUUCUAAAACCUUUUGACUUUCAUGGGGAUGUUGAUAACAUUGCAUUUUUUUGGAGUAGGAGGAAGCUGCUUGGAAGCAAAAUCAAGUUGCAUUCUUCUAUGGUAACAUUGACAACAUACAAUUGUUGCUAGAAUGAUGUUCACUAAGAGUUCCUAUUUAAUUUUUUAAAGUUAUUUUUAAUGAGUUUAUAUUUAUGAGAUCUUUUUAUCCA